rnacentral:rRNA from 1 species
CAGGUAACACUGACUGGAGGCCCGAACCCACGUAUGUUGAAAAAUGCGGGGAUGAGGUGUGGGUAGGGGUGAAAUUCCAAUCGAACCUGGAGAUAGCUGGUUCUCUCCGAAAUAGCUUUAGGGCUAGCCUCAAGGCAAGAGUACCGGAGGUAGAGCACUGUUUGGACUAGGGGCCCUCAUCGGGUUACCGAAUUCAGACAAACUCCGAAUGCCGGAUACUCAUCCUUGGGAGUCAGACUGCGAGUGAUAAGAUCCGUAGUCGAGAGGGAAACAACCCAGACCACCAGCUAAGGUCCCCAAGUAUACGUUAAGUGGAAAAGGAUGUGGAGUUGCUUAGACAACCAGGAUGUUGGCUUAGAAGCAGCCACCAUUCAAAGAGUGCGUAAUAGCUCACUGGUCGAGUGACUCUGCGCCGAAAAUGUACCGGGGCUAAACGUAUCACCGAAGCUGUGGAUUGUCUUAGACAAUGGUAGGAGAGCGUUCCAAGUGCAGUGAAGUCAUUUUGUAAGAAAUGGUGGAGCGCUUGGAAGUGAGAAUGCCGGUAUGAGUAGCGAAAGAAGGGUGAGAAUCCCUUCCACCGAAUGCCUAAGGUUUCCUGAGGAAGGCUCGUCCGCUCAGGGUUAGUCGGGACCUAAGCCGAGGCCGAAAGGCGUAGGCGAUGGACAACAGGUUGAUAUUCCUGUACCGCCUCGUUUCCGUUUGAGUGAAGGGGGGACGCAGGAGGAUAGGGUAAGCGCACGACUGGAUUGUGCGUCCAAGCAGUAAGGCUGGCAAGUAGGCAAAUCCGCUUGCCAUAAGGCUGAGCUGUGAUGGCGAGGGAAAUAUAGUACCGAAGUUCCUGAUUCCACACUGCCAAGAAAAGCCUCUAGCGAGGAAACAGGCGCCCGUACCGCAAACCGACACAGGUAGGCGAGGAGAGAAUCCUAAGGUGAUCGAGAGAACUCUCGUUAAGGAACUCGGCAAAAUGACCCCGUAACUUCGGGAGAAGGGGUGCUCCUGCGGGUGCAAGCCUGCGGGAGCCGCAGUGAAUAGGCCCAGGCGACUGUUUAGCAAAAACACAGGUCUCUGCGAAGCCGUAAGGCGAAGUAUAGGGGCUGACGCCUGCCCGGUGCUGGAAGGUUAAGAGGAGCGCUUAGACUCUGUCGAAGGUGCGAAUUGAAGCCCCAGUAAACGGCGGCCGUAACUAUAACGGUCCUAAGGUAGCGAAAUUCCUUGUCGGGUAAGUUCCGACCCGCACGAAAGGCGCAACGAUCUGGGCACUGUCUCAACGAGAGACUCGGUGAAAUUAUAGUAUGCGUGAAGAUGCGCAUUACCCGCGACAGGACGGAAAGACCCCGUGGAGCUUUACUGCACCCUGAUAUUGACUGUCUGUGCAGCUUGUACAGGAUAGGUAGGAGCCUUGGAAGCCGGAGCGCUAGCUUCGGUGGAGGCACUGGUGGGAUACUACCCUGGCUGUAUGGACCGUCUAACCCGCGACCCU